AAAAUUGAUAGAGGUUGCGGAAGCGAUCAGUAGCUCUCGUCAUACGCCGGCAAGCGGACGAAAGCGAAAGGCAAUUCCGCCGAAACUGCAAUUCGAUUGCCGUCGGUUUGCUGUUGGGGCCGCAUUUAAGAGAUGCGGUACUGUCACGCAGAUAUGCGUGGAGGGCUAUCAACGGU
rfam:Clostridium sp. CAG:413 genomic scaffold, scf211